rnacentral:rRNA from 1 species
GUACACUCCUGCGGGAGGCAGCAGUGGGGAAUAUUGCACAAUGGGCGCAAGCCUGAUGCAGCCAUGCCGCGUGUAUGAAGAAGGCCUUCGGGUUGUAAAGUACUUUCAGCGGGGAGGAAGGCGAUAAGGUUAAUAACCUUGUCGAUUGACGUUACCCGCAGAAGAAGCACCGGCUAACUCCGUGCCAGCAGCCGCGGUAAUACGGAGGGUGCAAGCGUUAAUCGGAAUUACUGGGCGUAAAGCGCACGCAGGCGGUCUGUCAAGUCGGAUGUGAAAUCCCCGGGCUCAACCUGGGAACUGCAUUCGAAACUGGCAGGCUAGAGUCUUGUAGAGGGGGGUAGAAUUCCAGGUGUAGCGGUGAAAUGCGUAGAGAUCUGGAGGAAUACCGGUGGCGAAGGCGGCCCCCUGGACAAAGACUGACGCUCAGGUGCGAAAGCGUGGGGAGCAAACAGGAUUAGAAACCCCAGUAGUCCCAUG